rnacentral:lncRNA from 1 species
GCCUACUCCAUUACAUACUGCACACCCAGUAGAUGGCGGCCCUACUCCAUUACAUACUGCACACCCAGUAGAUGGUGGCCCCACUCCAUUACAUACUGCACACCCAGUAGAUGGUGGCCCCACUCCAUUACAUACUGCACACCCAGUAGAUGGUGGCCCCACUCCAUUACAUACUGCACACCCAGUAGAUGGUGGCCCCACUCCAUUACAUACUGCACACCCAGUAGAUGGUGGCCCCACUCCAUUACAUACUGCACACCCAGUAGAUGGUGGCCCCACUCCAUUACAUACUGCACACCCAGUAGAUGGUGGCCCCACUCCAUUACAUACUGCACACCCAGUAGCUGGCGGCCUACUCCAUUACAUACUGCACACCCAGAAGCUGGCGGCCCUACUCCAUUACAUACUGCACACCCAGUAGCUGGUGGCCCCACUCCAUUACAUACUGCACACCCAGUAGCUGGCGGCUCCACUCCAUUACAUACUGCACACCCAGUAGCUGGCGGCCCUACUCCAUUACAUACUGCACACCCAGUAGCUGGCGGCCCUACUCCAUUACAUACUGCACACCCAGUAGCUGGCGGCCCUACUCCAUUACAUACUGCACACCCAUUACCUGGAGGCCCCACUCCAUUACAUACUGCACACCCAGUAGCUGGCGGCCCUACUCCAUUGCAUACUGCACACCCAGUAGAUGGUGGCCCUACUCCAUUACAUACUGCACACCCAGUAGCUGGAGGCCCUACUCCAUUACAUACUGCACACCCAGUAGAUGGUGGCCCUACUCCAUUACAUACUGCACACCCAGUAGCUGGUGGCCCUACUCCAUUACAUACUGCACACCCAGUAGCUGGAGGCCCUACUCCAUUACAUACUGCACACCCAGUAGAUGGUGGCCCUACUCCAUUACAUACUGCACACCCAGUAGAUGGUGGCCCCACUCCAUUACAUACUGCACACCCAGUAGAUGGUGGCCCUACUCCAUUACAUACUGCACACCCAGUAGCUGGUGGCCCUACUCCAUUACAUACUGCACACCCAGUAGCUGGUGGCCCUACUCCAUUACAUACUGCACACCCAGUAGCUGGUGGCCCUACUCCAUUACAUACUGCACACCCAGUAGCUGGCGGCCCCACUCCAUUACAUACUGCACACCCAGUAGCUGGAGGCCCCACUCCAUUACAUACUGCACACCCAGUAGAUGGCGGCCCCACUCCAUUACAUACUGCACACCCAGUAGAUGGUGGCCCCACUCCAUUACAUACUGCACACCCAGUAGAUGGUGGCCCUACUCCAUAA